rnacentral:rRNA from 1 species
UGGGGAAUAUUGGACAAUGGGCGAAAGCCUGAUCCAGCAAUGCCGCGUGAGUGAUGAAGGCCUUAGGGUUGUAAAGCUCUUUUACCAGGGAUGAUAAUGACAGUACCUGGAGAAUAAGCUUCGGCUAACUCCGUGCCAGCAGCCGCGGUAAUACGGAGGGAGCUAGCGUUGUUCGGAAUUACUGGGCGUAAAGCGUACGUAGGCGGUUAUUCAAGUCAGAGGUGAAAGCCCGGGGCUCAACCCCGGAACGGCCUUUGAAACUAGAUAGCUAGAAUCUUGGAGAGGUCAGUGGAAUUCCGAGUGUAGAGGUGAAAUUCGUAGAUAUUCGGAAGAACACCAGUGGCGAAGGCGACUGACUGGACAAGUAUUGACGCUGAGGUACGAAAGCGUGGGGAGCAAACAGGAUUAGAUACCCCCGUAGUCCCUGAGCGGGCUGGCAAG